AUGAACCUCGUGCGGGGCGUCGCCGAUCUGCUCCGCAAGUCGCCGCAGCCAGGGCCGCCCGCGCCCCCCUCCCCCUCCGUCCGCGGCGGCUCCUUCCGCGGCGCCGACAUCGACGACGCCCCCGCGCCCCGCGUCGUCUUCAGUGAUAGCACUGAGGAGGGAGUCUUAAGUACACUUUGGCAGAAGUACGAGAAUGCCCAUGAUAAGGAGGAAAAGGAGAAAUCACUGCAAAUUUUUGUCUUACAAUUCGUACAAACAUUCAGAGACUGGGGUCCAUACCAUAUUGAAGAAUUGGUUAUGCAAGAAUUGGGAUCUGAUGAAACAGUCGUUGGAUGCUCUUAUGGGCAUCCUUCUGAGGUCAUUCUUAUUCUGAUCCAGGAAAUUUCUCUAAUAACUUCAACUAUCACUGAAAGUGGCACCAGUCCAGAAUCUUCUCCAAAGCAUUCGGACCAACUAGAACCCCUGGAAUUAAGCGCUGAAAGAUUGCAUGUCCUGGAGUGCUUGACUAUUCUGACUCGCUCCGUGCAUAAUUGUAGAGUAUUUAGCUAUUAUGGUGGCGUGCAGAAGGUUACUUCUCUAUUAAAAGCCGCUGUUGAUCAGCUGAAAGCCUUGAACAGUUUGCAUGCUGUAGAUGACCAAUCUUCAGAUCAAGCAGUAGAAAAUACAAGGAUGAUGCUAAAGAUACUCAUAUGCAUAAUCACAAUAAUUUCAAAUUUCAUGAAGUUGGAACCAACUGCUACAAGGGACCCCUAUUUUGUCGAUACUACUAAAUAUGUCCGAUCGAGCAGUUAUUUGGCUACGGUUUCUCCAAGUAUUCCAGAAAACACCAUUCCUGAUGCACUUCAACAUUGGCAGCAAAAGGCUAUUAUUCUUGUGCUGGAAGCUGGUUGUGUCAAUCGGUUAGUAGAACUGUUACGGGUCAUUCAGAGGCUGAAUUUGAAAGAGCAGUGGACUGAUCUCUCACUUCAUUUUACCACUUUGUGCACCCUUAGAUCAACUAUAUCUGGUACCCAUGCACAGAAUCAUUUCAGAAGCAUUGGUGGGCUGGAAAUUCUACUAGAUGGAUUAGGACUUCCUUCAAAUAAAUUUUCAGUUUCAAAGCAUUCAUCUAUAUCAAGAGAUGAAAGGGGUGAAAUUCUUCUUCUGCAGCUACUAUAUCUGGAAAUUCUGAGUGAGGCAGUAUUUGGCAAUGUCAACAACUUGGAAUUUUUAUGCGAAAAUGGAUUGGUGCAUAAAUUUGCAAAUAGCAUCAGUUGGCCUGCAUUUAUGAUUCAGGAGUCUCACCGGCAAAAGGAUACUACAAAAACUCUUCUUGCAUUAAAUUCUAUCUCUGGUCCAGUUCAUUUUCUUAAAAUAACAGAAUGGAAUGACUAUUCUCUAAAGUUGAGCAUUGCCCUUUGCUCUUUUAUUCUCCCCUCAAAUGUCGUAAAAUGCUGUUCUGAUGAAACUGCUAUCAACCAAAUUUCGGCAUCCAUCCCAUCAGCUUAUCAGGAGCAAUCUGUUAGAUGGAUGAUAAGGGUUCUCCUAACAGUCUUUCUUUGCAUCAAAGCUUGUGCUUGUGAAUCGGAAUUACCAAGCCAUAUAAAGAUAUUAGCCAAAACCAUUCAAAUUUACACGAUCCGUACAUUCAGAAGGGUUCUUGUUUCAGCGCCAGCUCUACUCACAGCUUUUCGAGAGGAAGGUGUAUGGGACUUGAUAUUCUCCGAAGACUGUUUCUAUGUUGGGUCAUCUGUGGAAGACAUCCAAUUUCAUAUUGGUACAGAGAACCAAAAUGACAAUGUCAGAAAUAAUAGGACAGCAACUGAUUCUCAAAGCUCAUAUCGGACUGAUGUUAACAUUCUUCAAGUGGAAGCUAUUUCCUUUCUGGAAUUUGCUGCGACACUUAAUGAAAACACAUAUAAUCUGCCAGAAUGCUCAGCACUAGUGGAUGCACUUGAGCAUUGCGUUUCAGAUGCGGUGGUGGCCAGCAUUCUUCUUAAAUGCUUUCGUGUUAUUCUACAACUUGCCACAGAACAAACUUUAGAUUCAUUCAUAUCCUUGGAUGCAAUCACUAGAGUCCUUAAGGUCGCAUGCCUUCAAGCACAGGGACUACGAAACUCCAGGAAUUUGCCUCGUCCUGAAAUUACCAUCGAUAGAGAUGGUUCUCGGACAGAAAAUAUUGAGAUGACUUCACCUGAGGACAGAACUGAUCACACUCUUACAUGCCUAAAAUUAGGUGUAAACCUCCUUAAGGAUUAUGUAACUAUAUCUAGUGAUGGAAGAAUUCUAGUUUUGCACAAUGCUGAAUGUAUUGAGUGUUUAUUCAACUUAUUUGAAGAAGAGAGCCUACGGAAACUAGUACUGGAGCAAGUUCUUGCCUUAUUUAGGUUGCCUCCAUCCUCAGCACGAGAUCAUGCUGCAAAGUUGCAUCUAUGCUCCAAAUAUUUAGAGAACUUCACACAAGCAAAUGAAAAUGAAAAGGUCAAUUCGGAAUUGUUAAUUGAUCUACUGGUCAGCAUGAGAGAGAUCAUUAUGAUGGACCGCAUGUACUAUCAAAAUCUAUUUCGCAACGAAGGGUGCUUUCUGCAUAUUAUCUCUUUGUUAAAUGGAACUUUCAAUGAGGCAACUGGUGAGCGCUUGGUACUUAAUGUCCUUGAGACGUUAACCUUACUGCUUGAAGGAAAUAAUGCCUCAAAGGCCGCAUUCAGAGUGCUAGUUGGUGUGGGUUAUCAAACAUUACAGAGCUUGCUAUUGGAUUAUUACAAAAUGUUGCCAAGUGAGAGGCUCUUGGAUGCAUUGCUUAAUAUGCUAGUUGAUGGGAAAUUUGAGAUAAAUGAGAAAACAACUAUAAAGAACGAAGACGUUGUUGUAUUACUUUUGAACAUUUUACAGAAGAGCAGCACAUCACUUCAGCAUUAUGGGCUUGUUGUAUUGCAGCAGUUGCUGAAGCAAUCCAUUACAAAUAGAACUUAUAGUUUCAGAGCAGGGUUGCUUAGUAUUCUUCUUGAUUGGUUUUCAAUAGAAGAGAAGGAUGAUACAGUGAAUGUAAUUGCAGAGUUGAUUCAGAUUAUUGGCGCACACAGCAUAUGUGGGAAAGAUAUUCGGAAAAUCUUUGCCCUCUUACGCAGCGAGAAGAUUAGUGCCAAGCAGAAGCACACUUCUUUGCUUUUGAGAAGUCUCAGCCACAUGCUCAAAGAAAAGGGCCCAGAAGCUUUUUUUGAGUUCAGUGGCCAUGAUUCUGGUAUAGAAAUAAAAUCUCCAUUUCAAUGGCCUUAUAAUAGAGGACUAUCUUUUUCUUGCUGGUUGAGGGUAGAAAACUUCCCAGAAAAUGGUAUGAUGGGCCUUUUCUCCUUUUCCACAGAAGAUGGAAGGGGGUGCUCAGCCAUGCUUAGCAAAAGUGCUCUAGUAUAUGAGUCUAUCAAUAAAAAACAUCAGUGUGUUUUGUUACAACUCAAGCUCCCACCAAAGGAGUGGAAGUUCCUUUCUGUUACUCAUACAAUAGGAAGGGCUUUUUCCGGAGGAAGCCAGCUGAGAUGCUAUGUUGAUGGGGAGCUAGUAUCGUGUGAGAAGUGUAGGUAUGCAAAAGUCAACGAGGUAAUGACCCGCUGCACCAUCGGUACAGAAUUGAUGCCUCUUGGCGAUGAACCUAAUUCUAUUGGUUUUGAAAGGACUUUCGCCUUUACUGGUCAAAUGGGCCCAGUUUAUGUGUUUUCUGAUGCUCUCUCCUCAGAGCAAAUAAAAGGCAUAUAUAAUCUGGGACCAAGUUAUAUGUACUCCUUCCAUGGCGACGAUUCAUUGUACAGGGGAAUUUUGGACGCACGAGACGGCAUCUCAUCAAAGAUUAUUUUUGGUCUUAAUGCACAGGCUAGUGACAGCAAGACUUUGUUCAGUGUGUCAUCCGCACUUGAUAGUGCUGACAAAAGCACAGUUGAAGCAACAAUCAUCGGCGGGACAAAGUUAUGUUCACGACGCUUGCCACAGGAUAUUAUUUAUUGUGUUGGAGGAGUCUCUGUAUUUUUUCCUCUCUUCACUCAAUUUUGUGACGCUGUAACUAAUGGUGGGCAAUAUUGUGAUACAUCUGUCAUCAAUGAUAAAUUGGCAGCUGAAGUUAUUGAGCUUGUCGCGUCUGUUCUGGAUGGAAAUGUAUCAAAUCAACAACAGAUGUAUCUUCUUUCUGGGUUAUCCAUUCUGGGUUUCUUGCUUCAAGCUGCUCCACCUCAGCUGUUAAAUAUGAAAACACUUCCUGCAGUGAAGUAUAUGUUCGAUGUGUUACGGAACUGCGGUAUGUCUAAAGUUCUUCUGAAAGAUGCUAUUUCACGAGUUUAUUUGAAUCCAGAAAUAUGGGUAUAUUCAAACUAUGAAGUGCAGAGAGAUCUUUAUAUCUUACUGAUACAAUAUUUUGAAACGGAUGGAAGAUUUUUACCACUACUAUGUGGACUUCCUAGGAUUAUUGACAUUGUGCGCCAAUAUUAUUGGGAAAAGAUAGAUUCUAAGUGUGUUAUUGGUUCAAAGCUGCUGCAUCCAAUUACUAAACAAGUUAUUGGAGAGAGACCUAAGAUAGAAGAAAUCCGCAAGCUUCGGCUUCUGCUUCUGAGUUUAGCAGAAAUGAGCAUAAAGCUCAAAAUUUCUCCAGCUGAUAUAGGAGCUCUUAUAUCAUUUGUUGAGAGGAGCCAAGACAUAGCAUGCAUCGAGGACAUACUGAACAUGAUACUUCGCGCUCUUUCACAUGAUUCACUUUUGUCAUCUUUCUUGGAACACGUAAAUGUCCUCGGUGGCUGUUGUAUUUUCUUAAAUCUUCUUAAGAGGGAAUUCGAGCCAAUCAGAUUGUUGGGGCUUCAGCUCCUUGGAAAGCUUUUGGUCGGGAUUCCAUCAGAGAAAAAAGGAGCAAUAUUAUUUACCUUACCCACAGGAAAAUAUAGAAAAGAAAUGACAUCAGCACCUCAGUUGUUUUUCCAUGUAAUAUCUGAAAGGCUCUUGAGAUUUCCACCCUCAGAUAAUUCAAGUGCAACUUUUUUCGAUGUUCUUCUUGGUAGAACCAGUCCAAAACAGGUCCUACAAGAACAUUCUCAGUCUGAUCCAUCAAAAGAUACAAAUUCCAACGCUUCAAGCUUGGAUCACUUUUUCCUUCCUCGGAUUUUGGUUUGCAUCUUCAAAUAUAUGCAGUCUUGUCAAGAUUCUUCAGCUCGCACGAGAAUCUUAACUAAGCUUCUUGGUUUACUCUGUUCAAACCCUACGAACAUCGAGGCAUUAAUGGAGCAUGGUUGGAACUCUUGGCUUGAGACAUCGACAGAUCUCGAUGUAAUUAAGGAAUACAAACCAGCUCCUAAAGCUGAGCUGGACAAUGUGGAGAUCAAUGAACUAAUUCUUGUGAGGAAGUUGUACUCGUUGGUCCUUUCAUACUACCUGAGCUCUGUAAAAGGUGGCUGGCACCAGCUUGAAGAUACAGUUCAUUUUUUCCUUCUGAAAUUUGACCAGGGACAACUAUCAAGUUCUUAUUUGCUGCGGGACAUACUCGAUGAUAUAGUUGGGAGCCUGCUUCAGACAUCUUCGGAAGAAAAUAUUUUCCUUUCACAGCCUGGCUGUGAUAAUGUCUUACAUCUUUUGAAGCUUAUCCAGGAGUUGCUUGUCAAUCAAAUAGGAAUUAAACUCUUGUUUCCAUCUCCUAGCACUACAGACGAAUCUUCAUCCGAUGACAAAUGGAAAGAAGAUAUUAAGCUUACAGUAAAUGAAAUUUUAGAUGCUGAGACCAAUGGCCAGUGUAGAAGGUUUCCUUGGAGCUCGUGCCAAUUUGCUGCUGGGGAUGAAGUAAGUGAUGAUUGGUGGAGCUUCUUUGACAAGGUAUGGAGUAUUAUAUGUAAUUUGAAUGGGAAAGGACCAAGCAAAUUGAUCCCGAAGAGUCCCCAAAAUGUUGUAGCCCCGUCCCUAGGGCAAAGGGCACGUGGAUUGGUCGAGUCUCUGAAUGUCCCUGGUGCAGAAAUGGCGGCUGUUGUUGUAUCCAGUGGUAUUGCAAAAAUGAAUAUAUUUGCUGACAGAGCAACGAUAUUGAGGGGAGAGAUAUUCCCGAGAAUUUUCUUUCACCUUGUUAUUCUGUACCUCUGCAAAGCUGGAUUGGAAAAUGCAUCCAAGUGUGUUCUGCAGUUCAUGUCAUUGCUUCCCUUGCUCAUUGCAGACGAUGACCAAAGCAAAAACAAGCUGCAUUUUCUAAUAUGGUCUUUACUCGUUGUGCGAUCUCAGUAUGGGCAACUUGAUGAUGGUGCACGCUUCCAUGUUUUAUCACACUUGAUUCUCGAAACUAUCAUAUAUGGCAAGGCCAUGCUUGUUACUAAUAUCUUGGGCAGAGAUGAUUCUAUUGAAGUCAACAGCAAUAAAGAGGCUGGGUUCAUUCUUAGUUUUAUACAGAAGGAUCGUGUUCUUGCCACGGCUGCUUAUGAGGUUAAGCAUAUGCAUGCUGUUCAGGCUGAUCGCUUGAGGAAUCUACAAAAACUAAACUCUAAACUUAACGAGCGUUUUACUAAAGAGACACAACUAGUGCAGAUCGUUGAUGAUCAGAUACAUCUCUCCAUCAGUUCUGCACUUUCCUCAGAUGACAGUAGAAAAGCAGCUUUUCAACUUGCUUUUGAUGAGGAUCAGCAAAUUGUUGCAGAUAAGUGGAUACAUAUUUUCCGUGCUUUGAUUGAUGAGAGGGGACCAUGGUCUGCAAACCCUUUUCCGAAUGAUGCUCUGACUCACUGGAAACUUGACAAAACAGAAGAUAAAUGGCGGCGGAGGUUCAAGCUCAAGCGGAAUUACAUGUUUGAUGAACGUCUUUGCCAACCUUCAUCCUCUAGGAAUGAAAUUACAGAGCCAUUUUUUGACCAACCUUCUUUUAGCACCAAAGUUCCUGAGAAAAUGAAGCGAUUCCUUCUGAAAGGCGUGCGAGGAAUCACAGAUGAUAGUGGUUAUGGACUAUUUGAGGACACUAAUGAUACAAGUGAAUCUUCCCACAGUCCUUCAGAGAACCAAAACCAGAAUAAUGCUGCAGAUUCCUCAGAUCAUCGCACUACUGUUCAGAAUAAGAAAGACACAUCAUCUACUAAUGGAGAUAGUGAUUAUACCAAGGUGCUAUGUUCAGUUCAUUGUGUUCUUGUAACCCCAAAGAGAAAACUGGCAGGGCAGUUAAAUAUCACACGAACUGUUCUACAUUUUUCUUUUGAUUUUUUGGUUGAAGGGACUGGAGGAUCAUCUGUUUUCAGCAAAUUCAAAGAUAAGAAAGAUUCUGAUAGGAAGAACGAGCUGGGCUGUGCGGAGAGACUUUAUGGUUGUCGAGACAGUUUGAUUAGAAUCAAUGGCGGUUUGAUGCAAAACCAAUCUAAUAAAAUCAAACAUCACAGGAGGUGGAAUAUAGCCAAGAUAAAAGGAGUUCACUGGAUACGCUACCUACUACAGUAUACUGCAAUGGAGAUAUUCUUUGAUGAUUCAAAUGCACCUAUAUUUUUAAACUUCUCCUCCCAAAAGGAUGUUAAAAGGGCCGGGUCUCUCUUAGUUUCCCUCAGGAAUGAUGCCUUGUUUCCUAAAGGAAGUAUUAAAGACAAAAAUAGUGUCAUUUCAUUUGUUGACAGGCGAGUUGCACUUGAAAUAGCUGAGAAUGCCAAGGAAAGAUGGAAAAGGAGGGAAAUCAGUAAUUUUGAGUAUCUAAUGAUUCUUAAUACCCUUGCUGGACGAUCUUACAAUGAUUUAACUCAGUACCCUAUAUUUCCAUGGGUUCUGGCUGAUUAUGCCUCAGAAAAUCUAGAUUUCAACAAGUCAUCUACUUUUAGGGAUCUCUCAAAGCCGGUUGGUGCUUUGGACGAGAAACGAUUUAAGGAUUUUGAAGAUAGAUAUCUUAAUUUCUGCGAUCCUGAUAUACCGAGUUUUUAUUAUGGAUCUCACUACUCUAGCAUGGGAAUCGUUCUUCAUUACCUUCUCAGGCUUGAACCUUUUACAACCCUGCAUCGUAGCCUUCAGGGUGGCAAGUUUGACCAUGCAGAUCGUCUUUUCCAGAGCAUUGACAGCGCUUACAGAAACAGCUUAUCAAAUUCAAGUGAUGUCAAAGAGCUUAUUCCUGAAUUCUUCUAUAUGCCUGAGUUUCUUGAAAAUUCAAAUUCAUAUCAUCUUGGUAUUAAGCAGGAUGGUGAACCUUUAGGUGAUGUUGCUCUCCCUCCAUGGGCGAAGGGUUCUCCAGAAGAAUUCAUUCACAUCAACAGAGAAGCACUUGAAAGUGAAUAUGUGAGCUCUAAUCUCCAUCACUGGAUUGAUCUCAUAUUUGGGUACAAGCAGCGGGGACAGCCUGCCGUUGAGGCAGCAAACAUAUUUUACUAUGUGACAUAUGAAGGCGCAGUUGAUCUGGAAAACAUGGAUGACAUGAUACAGAAAUAUGCUAUUGAGGAUCAGAUUGCGAAUUUUGGACAGACACCUAUCCAGAUUUUUCGUGUGAAACAUCCAAGAAGAGGGCCUCCUAUCCCAAUUGCCCAUCCACUGUAUUUUGCACCACAGUCAAUAACAUUAACUUCAAGUGUUUCUAGCACAAUCAGCCAUAUGUCGGCUGUACUAUUUAUUGGCUUGUUGGAUAACACAAUUAUACUGAUGAAUGAGGGACUCAUAUUAUCAGUGAAGCUGUGGUUGACAACACGGACGCAGUUAGGUGGAAAUUUCACCUUUUCUGGACCACAGGAAAAUUUCUUUGGGGUUGGUUCAGAUGUUAUCUCCCCUCGUAAAAUUGGCACUUUCCUGGCUGAGAACGUCAAAUUUGGAAGACAGCUCUUAGCAACUAUGCAAAUUAACAGUGACAAGUAUUUGAUUUUAUGUGGAAAUUGGGAAAACAGUUUCCAGAUAAUUUCUCUCAGUGAUGGAAGAAUUGUGCAGAGCAUCAGGCAGCAUAAGGAUGUUGUUGGCUGUGUUGCAGUUUCAUCCGAUGGAAAUGUGGUUGCAACUGGAAGUUAUGACACAACUGUUAUGAUCUGGCAUGCGUUUCGAGGCAGACCAAGUGAGAAAAAAAUGAGGACUGCAAAUUUUGAAAUUUCAGAAAAUGAUCAUAUUAUAAUGGAAAGGCCUGUUCAUAUCUUGUGCGGUCAUGAUGACAUCAUAACAUGUUUAUUUGUUAGCACAGAACUGGACAUUGUUGUCAGUGGAUCGAAAGAUGGAACUUGUAUUUUCCAUACACUGCGUGAAGGGAGAUAUGUCAGAUCCAUUCGGCAUCCAUCUGGCUUUGGUUUAUCAAAGUUGGUGGCAACAAGGCAUGGAAGGGUGGUACUGUAUUCUGAAAUUGACCUAUCCUUGCACAUGCAUUCUAUCAAUGGAAAACAUAUUGCUUCGGCAACAUCCAUUGGACGUCUCAAUUGCAUGGAACUUAGUUGUUGUGGAGAGUUCAUGGCUUGUGCUGGUGAGCAUGGGCAAAUAGUUCUGCGUUCUAUGCAUUCUCUUGAUAUUGUUUGGAAGUAUCCUGGAGCUGGGAAGGCAAUUACUUCUCUAGCUAUGACCCGUGAGGAGUGCUUCAUAGCAGGAACCAAGGACGGUAGCUUGCUUGUAUUUUCAGUAGAAACUGCUCUAAUUCGACGAGGGAGCAUGCCACAAACAAGUGUAAAGCCUUCGGGAGCUGGUUGA
rnacentral:rRNA from 1 species